rnacentral:rRNA from 2 species
GAAGUGAGUAUGUAAAGGUUAAGGUAGAAUUUUCUUUGUUUGGUAUUGAGCUUUCAAUGUGGUAUUUAGGUUUCUUUUGUAAAAGAGGAUUAGAUACCCUCGUAUAGGAGAAAUAGGAUUUUGGUGUCUGUGGUGUGAACUAAAAGAAUUUGGCAGCCGAUGAAGUUCGUCCGGGGGAGUGUGUUCUUUAAAAAGACGGUCCGCUUAAUGGUUCACCUUUUUAAAUGGUUAGUGUAUAUCCGGUUUAAGAUCUGUAAUUAGUGUUGCGGGUGAAGAUAGUUGGGUAUUUAAUCCAGGU